UACAGGGGGGGCAAGCGUUGUUCGGAAUUAUUGGGCGUAAAGGGCUCGUAGGUGGCCAACUAAGUCGGACGUGAAAUCCCUCAGCUUAACUGGGGAACUGCGUCCGAUACUGGAUGGCUUGAGUUUGGGAGAGGGAUGCGGAAUUCCAGGUGUAGCGGUGAAAUGCGUAGAUAUCUGGAGGAACACCGGUGGCGAAGGCGGCAUCCUGGACCGACACUGACGCUGAGGAGCGAAAGCCAGGGGAGCAAACGGG
rnacentral:rRNA from 1 species